CAAGGUCCCUGUCUUUUUUCUCCUCUGUAGUCUAUAUUUGGUGUAGAGGCAGAGUAAAAUAUGAGAAGUCAACCAGCUGACGACGCUGAGCUCAGCAGACAACAUCCAGAACAAGCAAGCCAUGCACAGAGCCUUCAGAGUUACCCCCGAAUCUCCAUGCUUCUUUUAUCAUGGCUGCUGCUAUCAUGGGAUUUACCUCAAACUCAACUCUGCAAUCCAGAAAGAUAUGAGCCAGAGAAUUAAAAUACUUCACCUUCUCCAGAGAUCUGCUGAUGUGACUGCUACAGAUGUUGUUGCUUCCUUUCAUCUGCUCUAAUGUGAUUACAGGAAGUUCUCGGGGGAGGCUUUCUGCUGCUACAAAACAACCGCCCUCAUGACUGUGUCUCAACUGUUCCCAGCCAUUGAAUACAGAAACUACCACUGUGCACUCAGGCGUCCUCUGGUGGUGAUGUGGAGGAUCUGCAGACUGUGUAUCCUAUCCAGGAUGUGGUCAGAUUUCCCUCCAAAAAUAAAAAUAGCAUGAAUCCAAUCAACCAUAUGUCACCAUUUAGUCUGCUUUUUGAAAAAAUAAA